rnacentral:rRNA from 1 species
GGGCAAUGGCGGCGUGCUAAUACAUGCAAGUCGAGCGAAUGGAUUAAGAGCUUGCUCUUAUGAAGUUAGCGGCGGACGGGAGAGUAACACGUGGGUAACCUGCCCAUAAGACUGGGAUAACUCCGGGAAACCGGGGCUAAUACCGGAUAACAUUUUGAACCGCAUGGUUCGAAAUUGAAAGGCGGCUUCGGCUGUCACUUAUGGAUGGACCCGCGUCGCAUUAGCUAGUUGGUGAGGUAACGGCUCACCAAGGCAACGAUGCGUAGCCGACCUGAGAGGGUGAUCGGCCACACUGGGACUGAGACACGGCCCAGACUCCUACGGGAGGCAGCAGUAGGGAAUCUUCCGCAAUGGACGAAAGUCUGACGGAGCAACGCCGCGUGAGUGAUGAAGGCUUUCGGGUCGUAAAACUCUGUUGUUAGGGAAGAACAAGUGCUAGUUGAAUAAGCUGGCACCUUGACGGUACCUAACCAGAAAGCCACGGCUAACUACGUGCCAGCAGCCGCGGUAAUACGUAGGUGGCAAGCGUUAUCCGGAAUUAUUGGGCGUAAAGCGCGCGCAGGUGGUUUCUUAAGUCUGAUGUGAAAGCCCACGGCUCAACCGUGGAGGGUCAUUGGAAACUGGGAGACUUGAGUGCAGAAGAGGAAAGUGGAAUUCCAUGUGUAGCGGUGAAAUGCGUAGAGAUAUGGAGGAACACCAGUGGCGAAGGCGACUUUCUGGUCUGUAACUGACACUGAGGCGCGAAAGCGUGGGGAGCAACAGGAUUAGAUACCCUGGUAGUCCACGCCGUAAACGAUGAGUGCUAAGUGUUAGAGGGUUUCCGCCCUUUAGUGCUGAAGUUAACGCAUUAAGCACUCCGCCUGGGGGAGUACGGCCGCAAGGCUGAACUCAAAGGAAUUGACGGGGGCCCGCACAAGCGGUGGAGCAUGUGGUUUAAUUCGAAGCAACGCGAAGAACCUUACCAGGUCUUGGCAUCCUCUGACAACCCUAGAGAUAGGGCUUCUCCUUCGCGAGCAGAGUGACAGGUGAUGCAUGGAUGUCGUCAGCUUCGUGUCGUGAGAUGUUGGAUUAGUCCCGCAGCUAGCGCAACCCGUUGAUCUUAGUUGCUCAUUCAUUUAACUUCGGUCACUUCUGAGGAUUACUGCCAGGUUGACUACCGGAGGAAGUUGGGAUGACGGUCGAUCAUCUAUGCCACCUUUAUCUGACCUGCCUUUACCACCGUUCUUACAUGGGCGGUGUUCCAUAGGAGGGUUUGCCAGAAUCCUACGCUAGGAGGCUAGAAC